rnacentral:rRNA from 1 species
AGUGAACGCUGGCGGCGUGCCUAAUACAUGCAAGUCGAACGGAGUGGCGCACGGGUGAGUAAUGUAUAGCUAAUCUGCGCUACACUAGAGGACAAAAGUUGGAAACGACUGCUAAUACUCUAUAGUGUAGGAUGAGGCUAUAUUGUAUCAGCUAGUUGGUGAGGUAAUGGCUCACCAAGGCUAUGACGCAUAACUGGUCUGAGAGGACGAUCAGUCACCCUCGACGGGAGACACGGGUGAGGAUUCUACGGGAGGCAGCAGGAGGGAAUAGUGAUCAUGGGGCGUGACUCAGAAGAGCCAUCGGCGCGUGGAGUAUGUCAAUUGUCGGAGCGUAAACUCCUGUUGUUACCGAUGCGGUACCUGACGAAUAAGCACCGGCUAACUCCGUGCCAGCAGCCGCGGUAAUUC